ensembl:snRNA U6 U6 spliceosomal RNA
CUGCUCACUUCAGCAGCACAUCUCCUAAAACUGGAAUGGUAACAGAGAUUAGCAUGGCCCCCAUACGAAGACGGCACACAAAUCUGUGAAGUGUUCUGUGUUUUU